rnacentral:rRNA from 1 species
UAUAUCAGUUAUAAUCUAUUUGAUUGUCUUCCCCAUUGGAUAACCGUGGGAAAUCUAGAGCUAAUACAUGCAGUUAAUUGAAAGGGGUCAAAGCCUUUCAAAGCAUUUAUUGGAUCAAUACCAACUAUAGUAGUGCGGGCAACUGUGCUACUAUAAGGUGAAUCUAGAUAACUUUGCUGAUCGUAUGGCCUUGUGCCGGCGACAUUUCAAUUGAAUUUCUGCCCUAUCAACUUGUUGGUAAGGUAGUGGCUUACCAAGGUUACAACGGGUAACGGGGAAUCAGGGUUCGAUUCCGGAGAGGGAGCCUGAGAAAUGGCUACCACAUCCAAGGGAGGCAGCAGGCGCGCAAAUUACCCAAUCCAGAUUCUGGGAGGUGGUGACGAGAAAUACUAGAUGGCUUCCUAAACGGAUGUCAUACUGGAAUGGACGUAAUUUAAGAAAUUCGAUGAGUAACAACUGGAGGGCAAGUCUGGUGCCAGCAGCCGCGGUAAUUCCAGCUCCAGUAGUGUAUCUUAAAGUUGCUGCGUUUAAAACGCUCGUAGUUGGAUUACGCAGCAUAGAUUAGUCGAUUGGCAUGAUAUUGCACUCAAUCCAGCUGGUCUUAUUUUUGCCUAUGGUAUAUCCUAGGUAAAGGUCUGAUUAGUUGGAGCGGUACGUGUCGAUUAACAGCUAGUUUAUGCUACUUUUUCGUGAGGAUGGCAGUUGACCUUUAAUGCGUUGAUUGUUGUGUCUCACGAAGUGUGCCUUGAAUAAAUCAGAGUGCUCAAAGCAGGCUUUAGCUUGAAUGUUGAUAGCAUGGAACGAACAAUUGUGAUCUAGUGCUUUAAGAGACCAUUUGAGUGGGUUUAUAUUCGCUCAGAUGUGUAGCUUGAAACACAGCACCAACCGCCAUUUACGGAUGUUGGUUUCCGUGAUGGGGUGAUGAUUAAAAGGAGCGGUUGGGGGCAUUGGUAUUUUGCCGCGAGAGGUGAAAUUCUUGGACCGGCAAAGGACUAACAAAUGCGAAGGCAUCUGUCAAGACCGUUUCCAUUAAUCAAGAACGAUAGUGAGAGGUUCGAAGACGAUCAGAUACCGUCCUAGUUCUCACUGUAAACUAUGCCGACCCGGGAUCAGUUUCGAGCUUGAAAUGCUCGUGGUUGGUCCCCCUGGGAAACCUCAAGUUUUUAGGUUACGGGGGGAGUAUGGUUGCAAGGCUGAAACUUAAAGGAAUUGACGGAAGGGCACCACCAGGGGUGGAGCCUGCGGCUUAAUUUGACUCAACACGGGAAAACUCACCUGGUCCGGACAUCGAAAGGAUAGACAGACUGAUAGAUCUUUCUUGAUACGGUGGUUGGUGGUGCAUGGCCGUUCUUAGUUCGUGGAGUGAUCUGUCAGGUUGAUUCCGGUAACGGACGAGACCAUGGUUUUCAUUUAUGGUACUGGGGAAGGCUAUGAUGAAGCUGGCAACAGUGGAGUCAUAGCUGCUGGUAGAAUAUGCUUUUGUUGCUUCUAGUUUUAUGUGACGCUUGACCUAUGUCUUGUGAAGCUUGGAAUUAGUUGUGAUUAUAGGGUGUACUCUCCCUCCAGUURAACAUUGCGGGGUUUACGCUCUGUGAUUGUGCUAUGAAAAGACAACCAAGUAUACUUUAGAAGUUGGAGGAAGCACUUGGCGAUAACAGGUCUGUGAUGCCCUUAGAUGUCCAGGGCCGC